GCCCCAGUAGCUUAAAACAAAAGCAUUGGUCUUGUAUGCCAAAGAAGGAACAACUUUCCCCGGGGCA
rnacentral:tRNA from 1 species